rnacentral:lncRNA from 1 species
CGUUUACUGUUAGCCAACGCGUAUACAAAGACAUUUGAUGAACAUUGUGUAUACUUUUAUUGUUAUUGUAUGUAAAUAUUGUUAGUAAGGUCUCUGGGAAUAAUAUUAUAGAGUUCGUCUUCAUUGCCAUUGUUUGACCACGGGGGGUCCCCUGACUGAACGACUGUUCCCACCUUCUGUUUACCCUUAUUUCACACGUUCCCGCUUUAUUACCUUGUUAUUUUAUUAGCGUAAGGCAU